rnacentral:misc_RNA from 1 species
CGCACAUUGCGCCUUUUGGUAUUCCGAAAGGCACGUCCGUUUGAGCGUCAUUAAAACCCUCAUGGAGCAAUUCAUGGUAUUGGGGGCGGCCUGGCUGCCCCUUGAAUCAGAGAACUAGCACCGGAAGACUAAUAAAUUUUGUUGUCGACCACGGCUAAUGACCGCUGCUCCGGUGCCUCGCACCCCCGCAGCUAUGCUCUUGACCUCAAAUCGGAUGAGGAUACCCGCUGAACUUAA